GAAGUUGGUCUCUCCUGGUCUUUUGUAUUGGACUGAAAUAUUGAUUCUUUUUGGGUCUUGAACCUGCUGGCUUUGGGAUGCAUCAAUGCAUUCAACCAAAAAACUACAUUUUCCAGGUCUUCAGAUUGCCAGUUAUGAUGGAGAAGUCCACCAAGGAAUUUACAGCAAAGAAGAUCUUUACCUGCAUUAUUUACCAGGAGAUGCAAAGAAAGCCUGAGAAACUCCAUGAAGUUACUCCUACAGAGCACUGACAGGUUUCCAGAGCAGUCUGAAAUGUGAGCAGUAAAGGGGUUGAGUUUACACACAGGGUACUUCUUCCUUAUCUGGGGGUGGGGACCCAGUGGACAGCAGUGAUGGGAUCUCUUGAGCAAAUCAAAGGUUUGGGGGGAAACCUAUGAGUCACAAGAAGUGGUAUGAGGGGAAAGAGGGGGUCUCUCCAGAAAGAUGGCAAGUUGUUCUGGCUAAAAAAUAAUUUAUGAUUUUGCUAAGGACUGACCCCACUUCUGUGGUGCCUGAUAAUGCCUCCGUGACCUACACCUGCCUUCUUGAUCUCGGUGGCUGAAAGCUGAUGUGAUCUUUGAGCCACCAUCUGAUUUCUCUCCUCUUGCCAUAGACAGAGACGUGAUUACAUGAAGAAAUGAACAUGAUACCUCUUUAAGGCCUUAGGAAGUCCCUACUCAGUGGAUAAUCUGUGAUUAUUUUUUUGAUUUGAAAUCAAAUCAUGUGUUCUCAUUUUUUGGCUUGAAACAAAUAUGAUCAUCAUACCUGGAGGGUUUUAGUAGACUCAUAUGGACUUUAACAAUUGAGAUG